rnacentral:miRNA from 2 species
UCAGGGAUUCUCAGGGAUGGAAG